rnacentral:rRNA from 1 species
UACAGAGGGGGCAAGCGUUGUUCGGAAUUACUGGGCGUAAAGGGCGCGUAGGCGGCCAACUAAGUCAGACGUGAAAUCCCCUGGCUCAACCAGGGAACUGCGUCUGAUACUGGAUGGCUUGAAUCCGGGAGAGGGAUGUGGAAUUCCAGGUGUAGCGGUGAAAUGCGUAGAUAUCUGGAGGAACACCGGUGGCGAAGGCGGCAUCCUGGACCGGUAUUGACGCUGAGGCGCGAAAGCCAGGGGAGCAAAGCGGG